ACUCAAAUGAAUUGACGGGGACCCGCACAAGCGGUGGAUGAUGUGGAUUAAUUCGAUGCAACGCGAAAAACCUUACCUACCCUUGACAUGUCCGGAAUCCUGAUGAGAGUUGGGAGUGCCCGAAAGGGAGCCGGAACACAGGUGCUGCAUGGCUGUCGUCAGCUCGUGUCGUGAGAUGUUGGGUUAAGUCCCGCAACGAGCGCAACCCUUGUCAUUAAUUGCCAUCAUUUAGUUGGGCACUUUAAUGAGACUGCCGGUGACAAACCGGAGGAAGGUGGGGAUGACGUCAAGUCCUCAUGGCCCUUAUGGGUAGGGCUUCACACGUCAUACAAUGGUCGGUACAGAGGGUUGCCAACCCGCGAGGGGGAGCCAAUCCCACAAAGCCGAUCGUAGUCCGGAUUGGAGUCUGCAACUCGACUCCAUGAAGUCGGAAUCGCUAGUAAUCGUGGAUCAGCAUGUCACGGUGAAUACGUUCCCGGGUCUUGUACACACCGCCCGU
rnacentral:rRNA from 1 species